GUAACCUUGAUCAAUCCCAUACAUGACUUCCACAUGAAUGAAUUGAAAUACCUUCUCUACUGCCACCACGUCCCAGGAUAAAGGAUUCAAUGCUAAGAGAAAAGCCUAUUGUGUAGCUAUAACGUUAAAAUAUCCUCUCAUAUAUGUCAUUCGACUCCAACCAACUGACAGAAUUGCUGUAAAGUGCACAAUGGAAAGAGAUGAAACGUGACUUGUACGGAUCUCCUAGAAAAAGAUGAGGUGGCAUAAGUGCCUAAAUUAAGUGCCCCCAGGGCUCAUGUCAAUCUAGCCCUUGGCCCUGGUUGGUGGGGGUGUUAGCAGAAAGACCAACGAUGGGAACUCUUCAUUGUCUUUGCUAGCUUACCAUUUUCUGAGGAAACAGCAAAAGUAAAUAAAGAACACCGGCAUUGAAUAAAGCAUGUCUUCCCAUUAUUUUAUCCUAUACAAUUUAUUAGG
rnacentral:sRNA from 1 species